ensembl:lncRNA
CACACGGAAACAGUCACAUAACUCUGGCAGGAGGGAAUGAGGUCAAUCCACAACCCUCCAACUUAACGCACAUCGUCUGUUGCAGAGGGGUUAGGAUUUCACUUUUUUAUUGUAUUUUGAAGGCCUAUCGGACGCUCUGUUGAGAUUUGAUUUUUGUGACCGAUACGUGAACAGUAUUGAUGUUUUGAGUGUUCCCAAAGAGAGAGACAUUACAUCACAACAAUUUGUCAGGUCAAUUCUUGCCACAUGUUUCUUUCCUGUAAAGGUCCACUUAGAUUACAGAUGGAAGCAAAGGUUGUUCAGUUUACAUUUUAAGGACAUUGCACGGUGAGGGAAGGAGCUUAACAACAACGUGGCAUCAGAGAUUUUUCUUGGACUGAUUUCAAUGAUCCAUCAAGGAGUGACUCAACAACUCAAAUACCAGUGGGCUGCAAAUAUACUAAACUCCUGUCUGCGCUGAAUCCAGAGACAAGUACCUCACAUCGUUACGUUAACCCACGGCUAUCUUUUGAAAGGAUAUCCAGAUACUGAGGUUGCCUCAGCUGGGCGGGUGCUGAAAGCCUAUACGUUACCCAGAGUGCAGUGCAGGAUGCGGGGCGACUGCAGAUGCUGCCGGCUGAAGGCAAAGACAAAUGGACGAAUCAACGCUCCAGCAGAAGGUCCUAUUGAUUGAUAAAGCACCCUGUGGAUUGGGCUGUGAAUUGUUAGCCCCCCAUAGUGUGUUUUUUUUUUUUGUUUUUGUGUGGGAUACCAGACUGCUGCCCCGAAGGCCCUGAACAAUACAGACAAGCAGAGAAAGACAGCAGAAUCAAUGACUGUCUCACUCAGGGCUCUAGUAUGUUCUUACGAAUCAUCUAAAGUGGCUCCCUUGGCGCCUACCUCUGCCUACCUCCACUGAAUACCACAACAAGAUUUGUUAAAGACACCACCGUUCAAGGAGGAACGGCAAGCAUCUUCUGCAGGGAACCAAUCAAUGACUGAAGACAGAUGAAUUCCUCUAAAAAAUAAAGACAAUUUGGCUGUUAGAAAAGCAACUCGGACACAACGAAAGACCACAAAUUGCAUCCAGCGAAAGACGAGGACGAUGAGGAAUGCGUGUGAUGAAGGCUACAUUUGUCUAUUGAGACAAGGCCCAGGACCCAAGUGUCUUCUCUCUCCCUCGUGGGCGACUGACAGAGCCAGAUAGGCCUCUUCACUGCUGACAGCCAAUGUCCUCAUCCAUCCUCAUCCGAGAGACCAACCCCGCCUAGAUUUCCCCCGACGAAACCCCCAACGCAGAAAUCCCUCGCCCCAAGCUCAGCAAAGGGCCCGGAGCUGGGAGUGUCCCCGCGGCGCCUCUGUCAAUAUGUCAUCAUCGUCAUAGCUGCCAGUUGGCAGCAGAGUAACCCACCGCAGUUGUGUCAGCAAAACAGUCUCCAUUUUAUUAGUAUUUCUUUCCACUGAAUAUCCAUCGCGGGACACACACUUCUUCUCAGUAUUCGCAGACAGGGUCAUAACUCAAGCGGCCCGUGAUGUGCUUCCCACUCCUGUGACGGGGAGGUAUUUGUGAUGAUGAACGGACACAGGGGGGGAAGCGUUUGUUUUUUCGCAGGAGGCGGAGGGGGGUGGGGGGGGGUGGGGGGACUCGUCGUCGGGCGGAGCCGCACGCAGCAAGCAGACGUAAGCACUUGUGGUCCGAUGUGGCCGUGCUGACAACACAACUUUGGGCCUCGUUUGGAGAACAAACCGGCAUUUUAAUGGGAUGGUACACCUUGAGUACGAAUGAAGCAUGUGAAUUAUUUAGUUUCAUCUGUGUGUGUGGAGCUAAAUGUGAUGCUUUAGCGAUAGAAGACAAACUUUUAAAUAUUUUCUUUGUAAGAGAAAAGACCAUAAAUGUCCAUAAAAGAGCUGCAUGAGAAAAGCUUCUGCGGCUUCAAACCAGGAUAAACUUAUUUUUCAUGUCACCAUCCAUCCUCCACUGCAAGCUAAGUGUGAUGCGCAAUACUAGUCCACAGCAGCAUCCUCACACAAGAAAUUAACAGUACUUAUUCAUUUAGAGCAGAAAGUGCACUUUAAAUGUAAAGCACUUUGCUUAAAUCCAGGAAAUCAUCGCACUAUUAAAGCAAUUUGGAGAACAGCAUCAUACUUAGAGGAACAUUUCUGGGCUUCAUACAAAUAGGCUUGACAGUCAUUUUACUGCCUUUAGUGAGGGUCCCAGAGAAAGUGACAGGGGGAAAUUGGGGCAAAUAAAGUCAGAGGAAGAGGAAUUUCUCUUCAUGGUAAAAUUGGGAAUGAUGUCAUGAAUUAAUUCUGCGCGUCGAGGAGGAGAUCAUAACAAGUCUACAGAUGAUGCCUGGACAUUCACUAAACUGCAGCGUAAUGCACAGCUAAUAUGGGAUGAGAUUGCUCUGAGAUUUCAUUUUGGGGGCAGCAGCGGUAAUGGCAGAGAUGAUGAUCACGACUGCAUUACAGGCAAUUUGAUUUAAAACGUAUGAGACAUUUUGCGCAACGUCCCAUGAGAUGUAAACACAUAAAAUAUUUCCUCUGGCUUUGAGGCACACAGAUAUUUGCAUUAAAUAUGUUCUAACAUUGAUUUGUAUUGAGUUUAGACCAGCGCUCUGCAUUAUGGGUUGACCGAUUCAGGUUCGUCACGUGUGAGGGGAUGAGUACAUUAACGAUAUUUGUUUCUUUUUUUGUUACAUUGUUUUAAUGGAUAUUGAAGUCUGCAUUAACAAGGUCAGAUACAAAUAACAAACUCUGCUGGCAGUUAUUGGUUGAAAAGAUCCUCCUGCACCACCACCAGCCGUCUGCACUGGAUGAUCUGAAAAAAACAAACUUGCAUAAAUCAAAGCCUCUUUGUUGGAAAAAGAGAUGGACUGUUAUUUGCAUCCUUUUUUUCUUUCAAUUUGUCUGAUAUAAAGUCGAACGUCCUUCCCGCCUCCAUAAAUCCUGAGACACUAACAAAGUGAAGGAGCAUCCAAAUCAGCUCAUUGCAGCGGCAGUCGAUGGCCGCUCUCUCAAGGACGCUGAUUGACGUUUUAUACAGCUUCUGCAGGUUAGUGAUAUUGAUGGCAUUCAAUUGAACUGUAUAUUCUUUUAAUAAGGGAGCUGCCAGAUGCCUGUGGCUUUCAAAGUGCUCUUUAAGAGACAGGGAGUUGCGGAGAAAGGGAAGGAGACACAAAGAAGGUCAGGAUUAAGUGAUGUGCUUUCUCCAAAGCAAUUAUUUUAAGAUAGUAGCUUUUUUUUACUUGGCUUGGUUAAUGCUGUUGUCAGAUAGAGACACAUUUUAUCAUUUGGCUCCGAACAUGGCAUUAGAUUUGUAAUGAAACAAAGGCUUUUAGGUUGAAGUGCUUACUGUCGGCUUUAAUGUGACGGUGUUAUAUCAACAUCAGAAAGAAUUAAGAUAGUUGACUUUACUGGAAGAGAAUGUAAUUAUGUUCUUUGCAAUUAAUAAUGUCCUGUAAACAUACGGUAUCUUCCAUGCCGGGUCAAAUCUCUACUUGUUGCUUGUUCAGGGACAUUUUGCCUUCAGUUUGCUCAUCAGCAAACUGUCAUUUCAUUAUGUGAACCUUGCUGGCAAUAACUGUUAGAUACUUGAAGACUUUGAAUGAUGAUCAUUGCAGUGUAUCCAGAGCCACAAAAGAUUCAACGUGUUGAAAGGCAUCUUUAUCCUCGGCUGACUCUCCAAUAGGUUCUGGGCCACAACAUCUAUUCCCAGCCAUGUUUUAUUAAUCCAUCUGCAUCCUGAAAACUAGGCCAGUCACCCAGAGGCCGGACUAUCCACUUGUCCUCUGUACAGAGGCUGUUGUAUUUUUAUUUUUCAUACUCAGGUCAAAUGCACAAUCGUUUUUGUAAUAAGAGCUGCCCAUCAGGGGGCAAUCUGCCAAAAGGACUGUGCACUUUUUAUUUUGCUAACAGUAGUUAGUAAAAUAGUUUGCCAUCAGUUUCUAAGUCUCUUGCCUCCAAACAAUAGCAAAAGGCCGCUUUAGUUAAUAGGACUCUCCAAUGUCCUCUCCCUCUCCCAUCCCCUUUAUGAAUGCCAACGGGGCAUCGACUUAGUCUAGACGUUGGACCACACAGGGCGCCGCGGGUCACCCACAGUCUGAGACACUGCCGUGUGCGUGCUGCUCAGCCUGUGUGCACCAAGCCACUUACACGACAGGCAAAGGGGAUCCAUGUGGCACACAUGUGCUCCACGUGGCUCUCACAGAACGAGAAUGUGUGUGAGAUGCCCCCCCCUGCACCGCCCCAUGGGUACACAGAAUCUGUGGCAGUAUCACCGGCGAUGGCUACUGCUUUAAUUAAAGCCCUAAUGAUAGGCUUUCAACUGGGAAGCUUACUUAUCAUCACACAUAAUCGCUCGGUGCUAGUUAGCGCUGGCAGAAUAGCAACCAUCUGCUCUGCUGAGCACACAUUCUGAUCAUUCUUUAUAUAGCUGUGGUAGGUCACUUACAGUAUUUAUAAUAGGAGGCCCCCAUUAUGUAAAAGUCUGUUUAAACGUUGUACAUUAAUGGGGCACAUCUGUGGUAGUGGCGCUUGGAUCAGCAACACAAAUGAGUAGCCAAAUAUCCUCAUUUUAGUAAUAUAUAGUAAUAUGAAGACAGCAUGCUGUCGGUGAUUCAGGGAUGGAUAGAAUAUAAUGGCUAGAAUAUUUAUCUUUUUUGUCUUGUCAUUUGCUUGUUUUCUUCUUCUCUCCUGCCUUUAAACGGUUUUUGCAAUGAGGAUUUAAAAUGUCUUGUGUGUCCUUCCAAACUUUUUUUGGACUAAAAAUCCCCCAUUUAAUAAAACAAGUUAUAUUUGAUACGUUUUUGCAAAUUCCUGUAGCAUUAGUUACCUUUGGAAGGAGCCAAAAGCUUAAACAAUGACAAUUUUCCAAAGAAGAUAAACAAGCAUGGCGUGUUGGUUAAGAACUAGAUAUUUGAUGAGUUGUCAAAGUGAAUAACAUCCUAUUUGGUAAAGAAAUAAUUUGGCUUUAAAUUACAGCACAUUACCUGCUGUAAAAACAGCAUUAGAAAAAGUCAUUUGCAAAGCUCCACAUCACAUUUAUUUCUAUGAAUUCAAAAAGCACGUUUUAGUGAUUUAUCGUUUUUCUUAAUGCGUGAUUGAUUGACUCAAACUAAAUUACUAAGCUACAACAGACUGUUUUCACACUUUCAUUAGAGCGCGAUCCUUUUCGUGCGCUCAGCUACGAGAUUUACUUCACCAACAAAUCAAUCCGAGGUCAAAUAAGGAGCACUUAGGGAUUAUUUUCUAGCUCUGAGAUACAGUCAGUCUUGCUGACAGAAAAGCUGCACUCUAAGAGCUGAUGUAAUUCCCCCUCCGUGUUGGUUGCCUGAAAUGCUUUGUUGAAGAAAAAAAAAAAAAAGCUCUGCUUUUGGCGCAGCAAAGUGAUGAGAGCAGCUCGCCUCCACUGAUGUAAAUCCUGCCUCUGUUUACCGAGGGUUCCUGAUCAAAGGAAGGAAGGAAAGGAGAGAUUUAAGGACAUGAAAAAAAAUGGAAGUUGCAGACUUGCAAAGCCGAGUCUCUUUAGUUGUGUGUCUGAGGGGUGCAGCGGGGUUAGGUUGGUGUGUGGCAGGUCAAUGCAGCGGUCUAAUGGCCUGCAUUAAACUGAGAAGAUAAUAACGUUUUGGUUUUUAUUCUAUGUCUCGAUAAUUUGUCUGGUCCGCGUCAGGUUUGCCCUGUGGGGCGACAUCUCCCUCCCUUUUGCUCCUCCUCUUGGUGCUUCUCUUGCUCCCAGCUGAAAGUGAACAGAGGAUGACGCAAAUAAAAAAGGUUUACUGUCCGCGGUGUUCGACAACCCUGCGGGGCUCUUUUAAUCAUUCCUGCUUCAUUGACUGGAUAUCUGUUAUCAUUUUGUGUCUCUCUUUUGCAGAGGAUGAGCCAGGUGGAGGUUUACGUGGUAGGAAUCAAUUUACCUGAAACAAAAAACGUUUUUCUUCUCGAGCCCAGCAGAAUAACAUUGAACAAAUCAAACUUUUGGACCUUAAAGCAGUUUCACCGAGCCUCAGCAGUUGGAAAACUGCCUGUCAGGCACAGAUGUGCACUCAUCACAGCAUCAUGACAGAAAACUGUAAAGAACAGCUUUAGAGAUUUGCUGUGGUUCCAUUAAUCUACAGAAUUUUUUGCGGUGCCGGAAGGAAAGAAAGUGCUGACCGCGGCCAGGCUGUAUUUUAUUAAAAAGUAGCUCCAAGCGUUCAAACAACACAGUUGUGUAAUAGUUGGGAUUAUUCUGAAUAUUGGAAAAAAAUGUAACUUUUUCUUAUUGUCAAAUAUUUUCCAUGUGCACCACUUAUGAUGCCAAAACUGCGCUCUUUGGUUCCACUGUAAGGAAUAAAGUUGUGGCAGCGGUUUAAUAUUCUAAAAUCAGGAGUCAAACCUGAAACCUCUGAUCUCCAAUCAUUGAUCCAUGAUGCCGACUGACUGAUUUCACCCACUUACUAUGGGGGUGCGCUAUACAAAUAAAAUUGCCUUGCCUUACUAUGUUUUAUUUUUCCCUUUUUUUUGAAGACUUUACUUGGAAUCUCAGAUUUCUUUUCCAGUUUGCCGUACUGAAUCUGAUGUAAUAUUUACAAACGUUUAUUAGGAAAAAAACUGGGGAGUAAAUCCAUUGUGUUUUUACAGAUCAUCUGUGGUUACUUUCAUCCAGUCGAGCGCUAAUCUCACGUGGAUGAUUCGCUUAGAUCUCCUCCGGCCAUCCGGCCACGUGAUGCUCUGAUUCAUACGUGUGCUUCCUCAUGAGCCGUGACAUGGACCACAACCAUCGGCCUUCAAGGCCGCCUCUUGUGUCAUGACAGGCAAUUGACUGUGUGUGAUCUCCCUGUUCCCUCCUGCAGAACUGCCGAUACGAUCAGAGCUGGGGAGCAGAUGCGAGGCUGGGAAACGGUGGCAGUUCACUGGAGUUGAAUUGUACCCCGGAGAGGAGGAAGUGAAGUUUUUCUAUCAGAUGGAAAGAUCAGAGGAGACGGAUAAUUCAGUAAUCACAUCUCCAGCGAUUAGGGGGGACAGGAGGCGGGUUGCCGAUAAGGAACUGUGGGCUUCACGGACGUUCUGUUCGGUUAAUAGGAAACCGAAAAAGACUCAACGCCUUAUUUUCCCAGUGGUAUCUGCUUCUUUUAUCACACCACUUUAUGAUUUCUCACCUUGUCUCAUUGGGUCGUCUGAUCUCAUCUCAUUUACUAAAGGGUCGGUGAACCUGUCAGCGAAUCAAAACCAACUUCUGUGUGUGCUUCAUCUGGGUACGGUUGUAUCUUCUCAUCUCGUCUCAUUCCUGAUGACUUACAUUAGUUUUUUGACCCAUCUCGUCCUCAUAAUCCUGUUUCAUUCAUGCGGUAACAGAUGAAAACAACGCCCAGGCCUAUAAAAAAUGAUCUUUUUGGUCAUGUUUUAUUCUCCAAAGAAAUGUCAACAUCCUGAGUAAGACAGCCUAACCCAAGGGACAAUAGUAGAAAUUGUUUAAAUAUAAAUCCUGGUGCUCCUUCUGUCACGGUUUGGGUUUGUUUCCUUUCUUAUUUUGUAGUUUUCUGCCUCUUGUGUCCCUGGGUAACUUCACUUCCUGCCUUGUCCUGUCAUCCCCUGUGAUUGUCUGAUUGUUUCCACCUGUGUCCAAUCACCUGCACCUGCACCAUGUGUAUUUAAGUCAUGUGUGUCGCUUGUCCCUUGUCGCUCAUUGUUGACUGUUUUGGAUGUUCCUGUCUGCAUUUUUUGCCCCUGGCCCUUUUGGAUUUUGACUAUUAAAGUCUUUUUGUUUUUGAAAGUCUGCGUUUGAGUCCUGCCUUCUCUGUCUGAACAAGACUUUUCAAGGAUUACUCAUAUUUUUCCACCUGAUGAACACUCCAUAUCCUGACAUCAUAUCUGUAAGUCACAAACCGUUGUCAAUGCCACCUGACGAGCAUGACGAGUCCUCUGACUCUCUCUAUCCAAGUGGGUAAAAGCCUGACGUGUAUAUGUGCACACGGACACACAAGCGCACCAUGUCUUGUUGGCCUGUGAGAUCUUAUCACGGACAUUGAAAUGAGAUGAGACAAUGUGAGUAUCUGCUUCCUGUGUUUGUGUGUGGUUGGGAUGCAUGGGUCUCAUGCAGUAUCAUGUUAAAGUUGAGCGUCUGCUGUCUGCAGAGUCGCCGUAGUUUUAAUUUGAUGCUUUUAUUUUGAAGGCUUGUAAAGUAUGUAAAAUCUUGAUAGAUUAAAUUAAGAAGACAUAAUAUUGCAAAUAAUGCAAAUCUUUUAAGAGAAAUUUAAUUUGCAUUAUUUGCAAUAUUAUGUCUUAAUUUAAUUUAAAAUCAAGCAUAACAUGAUAAAACAAAUCUGAUCUCACGUGUUUCAACAGUGUUUACCCGUUACGACAGCAGGGGCUGUAGGGCGGCGAUCUGGGCUGUAACGUCCACCAUGUGUGGUCACACCCACGUGCACUGACUUAUUCUGAAGGGAUACGCGGCUGGCUCUGCUCCAGGUGACAACACAGAGGACGAGGGACUGUAGUAUAAAUGAAUGGCCAACGUGUUUCUGCACCAGUCCAGUCAACUGCUGAGCCAUUGGGUGCUGUUUCGUUUGUGUGCUAAGCUAAUCCGAUGCUAUACAAACUAUAGCGGUGUUCCCGCCCACAAAGGAAAAGUCUUUAAAAACACUCAAACAUGUAAAAUGUGUCUAAUUUGAAAAUAUCUAAGUUGAAUGGUGUAUGUAACUUAUAGUUGUGGUCAGUUUUUAUUUGAACUCUUUAACCAAGACCACCUCUUUUGGGCGCAAACCCGAAUGGCCCUCACCAUCAUCCAGUAAAACGGUGUGAGGCAGUGUAUCCAUGAGGCGGUUUCUCUGUUGGAGACGAUAUACACCAGCAAGCAUCUUUGCAUACCCAUAGGCGACGCACCGAUGUUUGAACAAUUCAUCACAUUUAAUGCAAUAUCAGGCUGAUAAAUUGAAAAAAAUGUAAAAAAAAGUAACAUAUGCAGCUUCUGCAAUGUUUUUUUUUUAAUGUUAAAAAGGUUUCACGGCACUAGAACAUUGACCCAGGACUCGUUUCUAGUAAAUAGGACAUGGGUUGCAUAUGCUGUCUGCACAUUUUGUCAUUUUCUGGGAGGGUGGGUUACGCAAGCCCCCUUUUCUCUGCCUAAUUCCAUCAAAGCUUUAGAAGCACUUCUAAUUGGGCGUCUCUAUUUUUGGUUGUCUUCCAGCCGUGUUUUUGCUGCCUGAGCAAAGGCAGCGCGGCGAAUGUAAAGCUGUGUGAUAACAGUGCCAUUCGCCACAGCACUGAGUUUGACCCUGCAACCAGCCUCCAUGACGGAUGAGAGAUGAUUCCGAGCCCUUCGGCUCAGCACGACACACUCAGCACAACUCAAAUAUAGUCUCCCAAUCUCUCCCUCACAUGUUCCUGUGUUUCCCGUCCUACUCUCCGUCGCUCCCUCUCUCCCGCUCUACUCUACAGAUUGACUGCAUUCUGUGUGCUGUCUAUUUAAAGCUGGUGCCGUAACCACCCACUGCUUCUUUAAGAAGUGGUGACUCAUCUAAACAGAUCACAUCAGUAGACUGUGUUGUUGUGUGUGUGUGUGAGAUGGAGUGUGUGUUUUGGGGAUGUUAUAUCAUCUCGGCUUUAGUUCUAUACUUUUCCUUUGUUUGGUGACAAGUGCAGCUGUUUUCUAACGAUAGCACUCGUCUGUGCGUCAAAGUGGUGUCUGCAGGAUUCUCAGAUUAAUGCCAACACAUACUCAACAAACUGUGCACUGAGUUGUGUGCUAUUCUGGUUGCAUGCAGGGGACUUCCAGCUUAUGGGAAAAGCCAAUGAGUGCAUUUCCAUUUUCACUACUUUGCUUGGUAAUGGGAUAUAUGUGAGGGGAUAUAAAAGUGCAAAAUGAAGGCUGUGUGUCUGCGAAUACUAGGCUACUAAUUACAAUAAAAACAGGGCAAUGUGUAUUCUGAAUCCAUGGCAGGAGUUUCCAGGCAGCUGGGGCGAGCAGUAUUCACUGCCAUGGAUUUGAGUCCCCCCCCCGCGCCCCCAACCCCC